AGGGAAUGAAAAAUAAUGGCACGAAUGGUGUGCAAUUGUGCUGCUUUCGGAAAAGUUUCUGUGACUGCUAGUAAAAAUGAAGCUUACAAUCCUUUGAGCAAAUCCGCAUUCUUGCAGUCCAUAUCAAUAACCAAUGCUCAUCCUUCACACCUUCUCGUAUACUAGCUUGCCGCUUUGCUACUUCAACAUUGUCAUCUACUGAUUGUAACGAGCGCAAUGCCACAAACAAAAAGAUGACGCCAGUCGGAUGCAAUCGAAUGUGACGCCCUACGUCCAAAGGAAGUCGUACAGAUCGUCAUGAGAUUCACUUCAUUGGUGGUGGAGAUGCAUUUGCAAUAGCAACAGAUAGCACACAAGCACAGUGAUGCGUUAUGAAGUCGAACAAGUUCUGAGUGGAUGACCCAUUUCGUUACAAUCGUUGUGCGCCAUUAAUCGAUGCGCGAUUGAUUUUUAUGUUGAAGGUGUUGCACGUUCGAUCGAUUUGUUUACAGCUUCUUCAAACUUAUGUGGUGGAGCACAUAACAUUACAACAUUUCUAGAUCAUAAAAAAUAUUAUGUCUUCAGUUAUGCCUAGUGAAAUAUUCAAUUGCCAGACAAAUUUUUUCACAUUUCCUUCGUUGGCUCAAUUUUUUUAAAAAUUGGAUGAAACCUCAGAUUUUCAAUGAAUAUUAACGGUCGCUCGCUCUAAAAUUCAAA